AAUAAGAUGCCUGAAAAAAGGGUUAUUUUGAUAGAAUAAAUUAUGUAUAUUUUACUCUUAUUG
rnacentral:tRNA from 1 species